rnacentral:sRNA from 1 species
ACCUGAUACCGAUGAGAAGAAUGGCCUGAACCUUCUGCGGAGACUCUGGGUGGUCAAGUUUGACAAGGAGGAGGAGAUCCGGAAGCUGGCUGAGAGGCUCUGGUCAAUGAUGGGCCUAGACCUGCAGCCAGACCUAUGCUCCUUGCUGAUCGACGACGUGAUCUAUCAUGAGGCGGCUGUAAGGCAGGCGGGGGCAGAAGCCCUCUCCGAAGCAGUGGCACGUUACCAGCGGCAGGCGGCGGAGGUUAUGGGCAGGCUCAUGGAGAUUUACCAGGAGAAGCUCUACGUGAGUGACCUCUGCAGCCCUGAUGCAGUCUGGGUGUGUGCGGUUGGGUGGGUCUCUGCUCAGCCCCCUACUGCUCCAGACAGGAAUCUCGGGGCUCACGGUGGCUCAGGGUAGCUGCGGCUAGUUUCCCACCUCACAAUCCUGGUGCCCAGGUCAUCGAUCUGCCCGUUGCAAAGCAUUUACCAACUUGUCUGUUGCAGCGGCCGCCCCCA